rnacentral:rRNA from 1 species
UCUAUACAUAGCACAGAACAACUGAAUCAGACAAGAGAUGACCGCAGCACCCGGAUGUUAGCGGCGGACGGGUGAGUAACACGUGGGUAACCUGCCUGUAAGACUGGGAUAACUCCGGGAAACCGGAGCUAAUACCGGAUAGUUCCUUGAACCGCAUGGUUCAAGGAUGAAAGACGGUUUCGGCUGUCACUUACAGAUGGACCCGCGGCGCAUUAGCUAGUUGGUGGGGUAAUGGCUCACCAAGGCGACGAUGCGUAGCCGACCUGAGAGGGUGAUCGGCCACACUGGGACUGAGACACGGCCCAGACUCCUACGGGAGGCAGCAGUAGGGAAUCUUCCGCAAUGGACGAAAGUCUGACGGAGCAACGCCGCGUGAGUGAUGAAGGUUUUCGGAUCGUAAAGCUCUGUUGUUAGGGAAGAACAAGUGCGAGAGUAACUGCUCGCACCUUGACGGUACCUAACCAGAAAGCCACGGCUAACUACGUGCCAGCAGCCGCGGUAAUACGUAGGUGGCAAGCGUUGUCCGGAAUUAUUGGGCGUAAAGGGCUCGCAGGCGGUUUCUUAAGUCUGAUGUGAAAGCCCCCGGCUCAACCGGGGAGGGUCAUAGGAAACUGGGAAACUUGAGUGCAGAAGAGGAGAGUGGAAUCCACGUGUAGCGGUGAAAUGCGUAGAGAUGUGGAGGAACACCAGUUGGCGAAGGCGACUCUCUGGUCUGUACUGACGCUGAGGAGCGAAAGCGUGGGGAGCGAACAGGAAUAGAUACCCUGGUAGUUCAGC